GGAAGUAAAAGUCGUAUCAAGGUUUCCGUAGGUGAACCUGCGGAAGGAUCAUUAAAGAGUAAGGGUCUUCGGGCCCGAUCUCCAACCCUUUGUUUAACUACCAUGUUGCUUUGGCGGGCCCGUCUCACGACCGCCGGAAGUUUGGCUUCGACCAAACUUCUGGCCCGUGCCCGUCAGUGGCCCCUUCAAAUUCUUGAUCAAGUAUGAUGUCUUAGUUAAAACUUAAUAGUUAAAACUUUCAACAACGGAUCUCUUGGUUCUG
rnacentral:misc_RNA from 1 species